rnacentral:misc_RNA from 1 species
AAGUCGUAACAAGGUAACCGUAGGUGAACCUGCGGUUGGAUCAUUAAUAAAAUUUAUAAAGGUUAAAUGUGUUUGAAAGAACCAUUUAUUCUUUAACAAAUUUGUGAAUUUAUUAAAGUCUUUUGGGUUAAUGUUUUUUAAAUGUUGACCCAAAAAUUUAUUAAACAAUUAUUUUUUAUCAAGUCUUUAAAAACAUUUUAAAUAUUAAAUUUAAAAAACAACUUUUGACAACGGAUCUCUUGGCUCUC